CCUACGGGGGGCUGCAGUGGGGAAUAUUGGACAAUGGGGGCAACCCUGAUCCAGCCAUGCCGCGUGUGUGAAGAAGGCCCUCGGGUUGUAAAGCACUUUCAGUGAGGAAGAACGCCUGGUGGUUAAUACCCAUCAGGAAAGACAUCACUCGCAGAAGAAGCACCGGCUAACUCCGUGCCAGCAGCCGCGGUAAUACGGAGGGUGCGAGCGUUAAUCGGAAUUACUGGGCGUAAAGCGCGCGUAGGUGGCUUGAUAAGCCGGUUGUGAAAGCCCCGGGCUCAACCUGGGAACGGCAUCCGGAACUGUCAAGCUAGAGUGCAGGAGAGGAAGGUAGAAUUCCCGGUGUAGCGGUGAAAUGCGUAGAGAUCGGGAGGAAUACCAGUGGCGAAGGCGGCCUUCUGGACUGACACUGACACUGAGGUGCGAAAGCGUGGGUAGCAAACAGGAUUAGAUACCCGAGUAGUC
rnacentral:rRNA from 1 species